UUCCCCUAUUUCUGUGAUCAAUAAGACCAUUGAAGAAGAUAGGUUUGAUAUUCCAGAGGUUCCUAUGGAGGAAGAUUGAUCAAAGUACUUGCCAAAGUUUCAUUCACACAAUGAGAGGGCACGUAUUGCAGUGAAAAUAGUUACGUCUGAAAUGAACAAAUUAAAAGAUAGUGUGAACUACACACCCUUGAGAGACCGCAAGACCAUCACGCAGUGUACCAGUCGUUAAAGACAUUCACCCAUGAGAUGCUAGCAAGGCUUAGUUUAUCGCUUUCACAGGAAAUUUUUGAUUGGAUAUGUUUUGUCAUUUAUAUUUUGAUCUUAACUCAUCAAACAUCAUUUCAUCAUCAUCCUAAGAAUUUGUUUAAUAUUGAGUUUGAGAUGAAGAUGAAGUUUAUUUAGAGGAUCGGUUUUGUUUUUCUUUUUUUAAAGUGUUAAUGUUUCUCUAGUACUAAUUUUCCUUCAACUGUAUAGUGUUCUUUAUUUUAGUACUUGAAAAAUAUAAGACAUGGAUUUAAAUUAA